UACCACCGAGAGGCUAAUGGCUUUGUUCCCCGCCGACGAAACACCCGCGGCGAAAACCAUGACCUAGCUGGUGGCGGCGCAGCUACCUAGAUCCUCUCACCGGCCGAGGACGGCAGCUGGUGGACGGAGGCGGCGUGGCCGGCGGGGACGGUUGGCUCCGGAGGGAGUUGCCUAGUUUCGUCUCUCGUCCGGUCCUCCCGUUCCCGUUGCCCCCCAGGAGGAGGUCUCCGCGACCAAGCACGCAACAGGGCGCCACUGUGGUGGUGCUGAAUGAUAAAAAAGGAAAGGUUUGUGAAAGCAAGUCAGCAAAAAGGUCAUUUUCAGGUCCACAGGAUUAGUAAGAGUAACAAGGAAAAUGGACCCGCUGUUGUGGUUAACCAGUACAUUGGAAAGUUAAUAAAGAACUGCAGGAUCGACUUCUGAAAUCUCAAAAGGACCUAUACCUUCAGUGUUAGUAUCGAUGUUAUUCCUUUACAUCUGUUCUAGGUUUGCAACCGAUCCAAUAUGUUUGCCAUGACCAUGUCAGGUACAGAAAUAUGCUGCAAUAAUCUGCAGAUUUUGCAAGACUGGCACUUCAUUAAGUCUUGUUUGAAAUCAAUGAUUCUUGGCUAGAGCUGGGUGAUAAAUCUGUUGAACUCUUACAGAUAAAUGUACUUGACUAUCUUUUAUGGGCAGAUGCACUUGACCAAAGUUUAGUUCUGCUAAAUAUCCUUUUCUUAUUGUCUGCUUGAAGUUAUUGAGGAGGGUAUUUCUAUGCUGUCGAUAUGUUAGGUUGCUGAUCUGUCAGGAGAGCUAAUGAGGCUUGCAAGCGGGCGUAUAUCUGUUGAAUAUGCCAAAAACAUUUUUGUGCAUUUGUACGUGAUAUAUUAGGACGAUAAUAGUCAGAUGAAGGAGAAGAUGGAGACUAUGCUGCAAAUUGAUUUAUACCAGAUUCCUUAUUCAUGACCUUUAUUUGAAAAUACCUGUAACAGCAUGACUAAGAGUUGAAGCAUAUUAUCGUUUCCUUAAGUGAAACUAUAUACAGGUAUGUUAUACAUAGAUCAGCACUUUUUAACAUGUUAUAUAGAUUAGUUUUUAACAUGCACAGGCCUUUGUAACUUAGUUCCGAUGUAUCUUAUUAUUAAUGCUUAUUUAUACCUGGCUGUUAAUA